UACGUAGGGUGCAAGCGUUAAUCGGAAUUACUGGGCGUAAAGCGUGCGCAGGCGGUUGUGGAAGACAGAUGUGAAAUCCCCGGGCUCAACCUGGGAACUGCAUUUGUGACUGCACGGCUGGAGUGCGGCAGAGGGGGAUGGAAUUCCGCGUGUAGCAGUGAAAUGCGCAGAUAUGCGGAGGAACACCGAUGGCGAAGGCAAUCCCCUGGGCCUGCACUGACGCUCAUGCACGAAAGCGUGGGGAGCAAACAGG
rnacentral:rRNA from 1 species